UAGAGCUUGAUCAUGGCUCAGAUUGAACGCUGGCGGCAGGCCUAACACAUGCAAGUCGAGCGGAUGAAGAGAGCUUGCUCUCUGAUUCAGCGGCGGACGGGUGAGUAAUGCCUAGGAAUCUGCCUGGUAGUGGGGGACAACGUCUCGAAAGGGACGCUAAUACCGCAUACGUCCUACGGGAGAAAGCAGGGGACCUUCGGGCCUUGCGCUAUCAGAUGAGCCUAGGUCGGAUUAGCUAGUUGGUGAGGUAAUGGCUCACCAAGGCGACGAUCCGUAACUGGUCUGAGAGGAUGAUCAGUCACACUGGAACUGAGACACGGUCCAGACUCCUACGGGAGGCAGCAGUGGGGAAUAUUGGACAAUGGGCGAAAGCCUGAUCCAGCCAUGCCGCGUGUGUGAAGAAGGUCUUCGGAUUGUAAAGCACUUUAAGUUGGGAGGAAGGGCAGUAAGCGAAUACCUUGCUGUUUGACGUACCGACAGA
rnacentral:rRNA from 1 species